ACGGGAGGCAGCAGUGGGGAAUAUUAGGCAAUGGGGGCAACCCUGACCUAGCAACGCCGCGUGAAGGAUGAAGGUUUUCGGAUUGUAAACUUCUUUGGCAGGGGACGAUAAUGACGGUACCCUGAGAACAAGCCACGGCUAACUACGUGCCAGCAGCCGCGGUAAUACGUAGGUGGCGAGCGUUGUCCGGAUUUACUGGGUGUAAAGGGCGAGUAGGCGGGAAUGCAAGUCAGAUGUGAAAUACCGAGGCUUAACCUCGGAGCUGCAUUUGAAACUGCAUUUCUUGAGUGAUGGAGAGGCAGGCGGAAUUCCCGGUGUAGCGGUGAAAUGCAUAGAGAUCGGGAGGAACACCAGUGGCGAAGGCAGCCUGCUGGGGACUCAUCGACGCUGAGGCUCGAAAGUGCGGGUAGCAAACAGGAUUAGAUACCCUGGUA
rnacentral:rRNA from 1 species